GUGCAGCAGUCGAGAAACCUUCGCAAUGCAGGAAACUGCGACGAGGGAACUCCAAGUGCCUACGCUCAGCGUAGGCUGUUCUCAAGCCUAGAAAGCUUGAGGAGUAAGGGCUGGGUAAGACGGGUGCCAUCUGGUGGUAGCAGUCAAUAGAUUCGAUUUGUUACUGCAAGGGCAUAAGCCGCCGCGGUAAUACCCGCAGCCCAAGUGGUGGCCGCUUUUAUUGGGCCUAAAGCGUCCGUAGCCGACCCGGUAAAUGCCUGGGUAAAUCGUGGAGCCCAACUUCACGAAUUCCGGGUAGACUGCCGAGCUCGGGACCGGAAGAGGGAGAGGGUACUUCGAGGGGUA
rnacentral:rRNA from 1 species